UAAGGUAGGUAAAUGUUCUUAUAAAACUGUUUACAUUACUAAAGUUGUCGUAAGUUAAUCAUGCAAGGUACUUACGUGAGUAAAACUUACAGGUUUAUUCGCGGCCUUAGAGUAGGUUCUAAUAUAUUGUUAAUUAUGAGACAGACUAUGUUAACUUGUCCAGUGAUAUUAUGUAAUUUGCAAUUUUGGCAGCUUGUUAUUAAACUAUGAAAUACGCUUGCUGGCAAUAUAUCAAUAUGAUCUAAAAUAUAAUUAAUUGAAUGAUUUUAUUAUGUUAAGUAAAAUAUACAUAUACCUGAUGUUUCAAGUAAUACUCAUGCUUAUGUCACAAAUUAUUUAUAGACGCUACGUAAAAUUAAAAAUAUAAUAAUCAGUAAAAUUGAAAUAUGUUCUAUUAGUUAUACAAAUAGUAUGUUAAAAUAAUAAUUAUGAUCCGUAUUGAAAUUAAUAUGUACAAGAAAAAUAUACUAUCAUAUAAAUAUCAAAAAACUAUACAAUAAGCAAGCGAAAUACCUAUCUUUCAACUAUUAUAAUACAAAAACGCUUAAAAGCUUAUCUAUUAUUAUAAUAUAUAUACUAUAUUCUUUUAAAAGUAUAUCAAUGCAUAUGCUAGCAACAAAAUUCAACGCUUUAUCAAAAUUAUCCAUCACCUAAGGGCCAAGGCUUAUUUAACGUUACAGCAAAGUAUUAUGUGAUCAAAAAGUGUGUUUUUUUUUUACACAUCAAUUCAUAGAUCAUCGCAUAAUAACGCUUGAUAUGUAUUGACCUUUAUUUUUAUUAGAAUAUUAAAAUGAGCCAGAUAAUAUAACCAUCAAACAAAAAUAAAGAGAGAGACAAAAGUAAAAAAAGGGACUUGUAAGCACAAUUUCUUUACCUAGUUGUUAAAAGUUUGAUUUCCAAUGAAAUAUCGUCAUGGAAUCGUAGUGAAUACUUAGCGACGUACUUACGUUUUGCUAUAUGUAGAUAGGCUUUAAUAUUGCGUAGACUUAGGUUACGUAAUUAUAGAUACUGUGGUUAAUUCAGUUGUACACAGUACUAAACUAAAAUGGCAGGUAUAAGUAUUGCUGUCCUUUUCAUAAUGUCCCCUGCGGAAAAGGAUAGCACUAGAUUUAGACAUGGCAGUUUAGAGAUCGUGCACAACAGAAUUAGCCACAAUAUUGUACCUAAUAAGAUGUGGAAUUUAUAAGUAAACUACCCAAUAAAGGUUAGAUAAAGCUAAAUAUUAUACAGGUACUAUAUUUUUGAGCCCGUAUAAACUUUAGUCUCGUCUCACUUUCUGAAAGUUUCGUUUGUAAAUUCUUUCAAUACCCAGAACAGACGAUAUAUUACGUGCGAACAAAACAACUUUCGGUUUGCGAACCGACAAACAACUUGAGCAUUGACGCGAAUGACGCCAGCACGCGAUUGGUUGACCACUCGGCGCGGGUGCACGCGAUUGGUUGAUACGUCGACUUUCACUUCUGGAUUUGCCAACUUUAUUCCACUACGCUCUUUAGGUCCAAGUUGUUUGCCGGGCACUAUAAUAGAAAUUACUUUUAGUGCUCAAUUCAAUAUGCACUAAGAGAAGCUUUGAUAUUUUCAAAGUGGCAUCUUUAGAACACUAACGAACGCACAAGAUAUUCUUUUAGUGCAGUCUAAGUUCUACACUUACCACUAAACAUGCUUCCUUUAAGGUUUCCUUGUUCUCUAGUAUAAAUGGCAUCUCUUCUAUACUGUUCAUCAAUAUCUCGUAUAAUAUAUACUCUUUUUCAUAUUAGAAAUUCCAAGUCCGGAUAAAUCUUACUGCAUAUAUAAUUAUGUAUUUACCUAUGUGGUAGAUCCACUAUCAUGCUGCUAUCUAAAAUUAAUAUAUACAUAAUAUUAUAAUGAAUACGAAAAAUGCAUUUAUGUACUUGUAAGAUAUUGGUGAUGAAUAACAUAAUAUUAUCGUAUUUAUUAGUAGUUUAAAAAUUAAAGUUAAUUGCUUCGAAUUGUGACGCCUAAUUUUGCAGUUCGUUUUGAAACUGGAAGUCAUAAAAUUUACUGCGGGCGAAAUAAUUACCGUUUAGACACGUUUUUGACGUGAAAACUAUACGUGAUUAGAGGCUCUUUGUUACCAGAUUGGAAAAUGUGAAGAUGCUCUAAGGCUGUAGAGCGAAUAGAGUGCACUUUGACCUUGCUCAGGCUUCAGAUACUGUUAAAAGAAGACAGCGUUAUAUCGCUGGCUAUCUGUCUCGUUUUAAUUGAAACUUAAGUCUGAGCAAAGUCAUAGUACACUCUAUAGACCUCAGCCAUUCUCAUCUGUAAUUCGAAUAUUAUUAAUAUGAGUACGUUUAUGGUUUCGUAUUUAUAAAUAUUUACGAUAAGUUGUAACCCAGAUACUUGGCGUUGAUAAUUCUUCUCGAAUAUGAGUAUGAAUGCAUAGGUGAAAUUAAAGAAAUGAAGUGUAUGCUUAUGAUUUUUUGACUAAAGUCAAUAUCUUAUUGAAAAACGUUUAUAGCGAGGAGAGAUAUCACCGUCAAAAAGUAAAAUGACGACGAAUGAGUAUUAAAGACCACGUACGUAUUGAAACAGGUGAACUAAUCUAUAGUUAAUGACUAAAGUCAAAAAGUAAUCUUUGUGAUACUCAAUCUUACCUAUAGGUAGACGGCUUGACUGAGACAGCGUAUUUCACGAGCUGUUUCAGUGAAACGGUAUACCCAUACUACUCUAGUCCAAAGAAUUUCAAGCUACUCUGUGGCAGCUAUACAAAAUGCACAAACAAAUUUAAGCAUCCAGCCUACCUCUCCGAUCUCUUUGAAAAGAGUUCCUAAUUCGGUUUCUGGCCAGGCUUUAUGCUUUGGGUAAUAAUAAUGUAGCUAAUUCUAUUGUACAUAAUAUAUAAAUAAACUAAAUGACAGCUACAGUGUGACGAUCGCAAUUACAUCUGAUUGGUUGACGCUCGCUCACUAUUGGCUACAAUGCAUUGUUGCAACAAGAAUACCAUACAUUCAGCCAAUCAUAUCAAUUGCGAUGUAAUUAUGAUUGAUGCAGUUUUUCCCUAAUCGACUAGCUGUUCUCAAUGUAUUGUUAUCGCUUUCAUAAUGCUUCCUGCAGAAAAGGAUAACACUAUAUUUCGACCUGGUAAUUUAGAGAUAGGGUACAACAGAGUUAGCCACAAUAUUGAUUUAACUAACACCUGAACAUGUGUCUAUCCUCAAACUUGUGGGUUCAAUACGAACGUGGUCGAAAGAUUGGGUUAUUCUGAAACUUGGCCCCAACGUUUGAACAAGUUCUCUAUACGAUCCGCCUUAUGGAUAAUAAUAUUUUGUUCGGGAACGCGAAGUUCAUUCCCAAGUUUCUACAGAAUAAAACCGCUUUAAGUGAUGUGGCGAAGCUUGGUAGUUUUUGUACAUGAAAAGGCGAUUUUUUUGCACGAACCUUAUUUAGCUUUAAGAUUUAAAGCUAAUUUCAAUGGUUUCGUUUUUUUUUUUUUAAUUAUUAGCCAAAUGGAUUUAUAUCCGAUUACAAUUGUUAGAUUUUUGGUAAGGAGGUUACUCGAAUGUUUUUACUAUGUUACGAUUUCCUAAUAUCUACAUUUAGCACAGACUAAGAGAAAAAAUAGACGGAGCAUUUGCUUAUAAACGCGUUCUCGUAUGCGUCCGCGCUUUUUCACCAAAUUGUUAUUUUUGGAAAUCAAAUAUAAUUUUAUAAUCAAAUAUAUAUGAGUUAAGGGAAUAUAGCGUUUAACUCGUUAUGAAAUUAUCUUCUAAAUGGAUGCGACGCACUUUUACGGGACGCAUAUUAAAGCUGAAAUCUGUAGUGCGCACUUUAACUUUGCUCAGACAGGCAAAGUUAAACCGAGACAGGUUAUGUCUCUAUUAACUAAAUCAGAGCAAAGUCAAAGUACGCUCUAUAGAUAUCAACUUUAGUGUGACCGAAGCGACAUUGCUACACGAUCAGCUUAUUUUGUUAAAAAUCAAAAUUGUGCUCUCCAUUCCGGCUUUAUAUUCUGACGUUUUGCCGUCUAUCUUUUUCCUUAGUCUAUAACAUAUUUAGAUGAAAUAAUAUAAAAUAAUGGUUGUCUUACAUGCUUUCUACACUGUUACCUAAUAUCAAUGUAUGAUAUCAUUGUAUGUGUAUGUAUAAUGGGCCGCUGUAGGCCAUAUUGUGAUAUUAAUGUAUUAUAAAACGUAGGUUUAGGAUCGAGUGUGCCUCGGAAGCUUAACACUAUCGUGGUAAGGCUUGGGUUACAUUGUUGUUUCGAUACUUUUUUUAUUUAGAUGAGAGAAUAAAAUAUGUUCUUAGCAUUUUCAUAUACUUAGCUAUGUUAUUUUUACCUCGCGACUUAUUUUUUUAGACUUGACCUAUUGUAAACAUGAAAUUAUUGGAAAUGAUACUAGUCAAAUCAGUAACUUGUUAUUCAAACGUCAAAAUGUGUGCUUCACAUGUAAGCUUGCAUGAAAUACAGAAAUGUGAGGUCAUAAACUUGCUUUUUUAGUUUGAUCGAUAAUUUAAAAUGGCUAUUAUUGGUAAUGGUAUUUUGAAAACCUUCUGUGUAGUAAAAUCAAUAAAAAAUAAUUUAUUAUUGACGCAACAUACAACUAUAGUAGUCUAUCCUUCAAAAGCGAAAACAUGAUAGGAAAGAAAUCUCUUUGAGUGACAGUAAUUGGCAAGUCACGUCAUUUUUACCCACCUCUAGGUACGUGAAAGAAACUGUAAAAGCGGGAGUCGAUUUUCAUUUUGACACAGACUUGAUGCAAUUACUUCAGGAUAUUUAUUUGCUAAAUGCUCUUGCGGACUAAUUCACAUUUUUUUGGAUAACGACAAAAAAAAAUGUUCUUUGCAAAACAGUGUAAACUAAGCCUUGUUUUUAAUGUUAUUAUGUAGGAAUUUUGCAUGUCAUUAUUUUUAUCAAAUAAAUUAAAGCUUGUGUUUAUGUAUAUUAUGUACUCUGCUGGACAGUUUUUGUAUAAUAUAUAAUUUAUAUCGUAUAUAUAUACCCGUAUAAUUGUAUAACCAGUGUUACACUUUUGAGGCACUGAUGUGUAAGUUUCGUAAACUUUUAUUUAAGCAAAUCGCAAUAUCUCAGUGUUAACGUUCAUAAUAAUUAAUGAAUUUUAUUUAGGUAGGUACUUAUAUUUAUUAUUUUUACAAUUUAUUCAAUUUAAUGCGCUGUAUAAUCAACUUAAUUUUUAAUUAAUAUACUUAGAUAAUUUUAUUUUGAUGACUUAUUAUACUAAAGGUAUAGUAAAAAUUUUAAUGGUAUCUAGCUGAUUGAUUAGAUUAUUAUUCUUGAUAUAAAUAUUUUAUGGGUCUUUCAAGAAUAUAAUACCGUCUGCAUAAUAUGGCAAUUGCCAAGUUUAAGGUUUGGUACUUAUCCUUGUACAGUCAGCAACAAAGUUAGGUUUGCACCCGUCCAUAGUCCGUGUUCAAAUGCACGUGAAAAAGUCGUCGUGUGCAAAGGGCUCUUUAAAUCUAUAUGUAAAUAUAAAGCUGACUUUGACUUUGCGCAGUUUAAGUUUGAGAAACGAGACAGCUAUAUAUGCUUGUAGCUGUCUUUUUCUAACAGUGUCUUAAGCUUGAGCAAAGUCAAAAUGCGCUCUAUAAAUCAUUGACUGGCGAUAUAUUUUUUUUUUCAUUAUCCUAUAAAUAGGCAAUAUCAAGACAGGUUUAUAGAACUUUCGUCAGGAUUUGUCGUUGAAGUUUAUGAUUUUUUAUUUAGUUCUUUGACUAGGCAGGUAUUCGCUAGAUGCAAGCUAAAAUUUUUAUUAUAGAAAAUAGUUUUUUUAUACUUUUAUGAAAUGUAGUCUUUUUGUGUGUGUACUGUGUAUAUGUAUAUAAUAUGCUUUUGUGAUGGUACCUACUCUUCUGUGAUUGUUAUUUUACCAUUAUGAUUAUUGUGUUGUCUCGCUUAUUAUAUUAUCGAUAUUUCGAAUUUUUGAGCUUUCAUUGUUAGUCAUUGUUUUUGUAGCCUUUGAUUGCUUGAAAGUUAUUGUGAUUUGUUCACCAAAAAUUGUUGUAUAGUUUGAGAUGAAAAUAUUUCUAGUUUUCUUUUGAAUUGGUAAGUAAAGUACUCUACAGUUAACGCCUACUUUGUAUUCACUAUUAUUUAUACUCCCAAAAUUCCUAUUCACUAAUUCAAUUUAAAAAAUGCAUUUUUUCAUAUUCUCUAAAUAAUUAGGUAAUUGCUCCCUUCUUUAUACUCAACCAUUUUUUGAACGAAUAUUAGAAAUCUUGAAAUAUUUUUAUCUCAACUUUACUGAAAAUGUUACUAUUAUGGCUAGUUAAAAUUAUACGUUUAUCGAAAUACUAUUUAUUUGCAAUGAUUUGUUUAUCUUUGGACUGCUGUUGUAUUAUAGUUUCAUUGUGGUGUAUCCUCAUGGUACAUGAUUUCACGAGCGUCACUAUCUCUUUAUUUCGCCCUAUUCGUGGUCAUUCGCUGUCCUUUGAGUGUUUUAUAUGUACCUAUAGGCCGUCUGAGUCCUGUAAGGCUGAAAUUUAUAUGGCCAACUUUGACUUCGCUGAGACUUAAGACACUGUUAAAACGAGACAGCGUUAUAUCGCUGACAUAAAUCCGUAUCGUUUUAACUGAAACUUAAAUCUGAGCAAAGUCAAAGUAAGCUCUUAGAUCUCAGCCUAAGAUGCAUGUUUUCUCAUAAUAGGUAGUGUAGUUCGUGCUUUCACGCGCCAUGAGAAACCAUCCUAGCUGACAAUACGUUUGUAUGUGUCCGAUUUAAGCUGAAGUAUUAAUAAGAACAAUAAAAUAUAUCUUCUGUAUUAUUAGUAGAGAAGCGUCUGUUUUUAAUACUUACGAAUAAUUUCGCAAUAGAUGCAAACGCAUUGUAUCAUACAAUUAGAUGUUACUUAUAUGUAUAUUCCGUGAUUUUUUUCCAAAUAGAAUUGAAAUAAAUAAUCGAAUAACCUUA